AAGACUAUACUUUCCGGGAUAAUUUCUAUAGUUUGUUACUAGAGAAGUUUCUCUGGACAUGUAGAGCACCCGAAACCAUGAGGAGAAGAUGGAGUGUUCUCUCCUGAGCCUGAAGCCGGUUUUUAGUCUUGCUUCAGUAACUGCCAUUUGCCACUGAUGAUCGUCUUCUCUCUCCUUGGAGAGACUAAGAGAAGGACUUGAACAGA